AGUGAACGCUGGCGGUAGGCCUAACACAUGCAAGUCGAACGGCAGCACAGAGGAGCUUGCUCCUUGGGUGGCGAGUGGCGGACGGGUGAGGAAUACAUCGGAAUCUACUCUGUCGUGGGGGAUAACGUAGGGAAACUUACGCUAAUACCGCAUACGACCUACGGGUGAAAGCAGGGGAUCUUCGGACCUUGCGCGAUUGAAUGAGCCGAUGUCGGAUAAGCUAGUUGGCGGGGUAAAGGCCCACCAAGGCGACGAUCCGUAGCUGGUCUGAAAGGAGGAGCAGCCAAACAGGAACUAAGACACGGUCCAGACUCCUAUGGGAGGCAGCAGUGGGGAAUAUUGGACAAUGGGCGCAAGCCUGGUCCAGCCAUACCGCGUGGGUGAAGAAGGCCUUCGGGUUGUAAAGCCCUUUUGUUGGGAAAGAAAUCCAUCUGGUUAAUACCCGGGUGGGAUGACGGUACCCAAAGAAUAAGCACCGGCUAACUUCGUGCCAGCCGCCGCAGUAA
rnacentral:rRNA from 1 species